rnacentral:rRNA from 1 species
UACGUAGGGUGCAAGCGUUGUCCGGAAUUAUUGGGCGUAAAGAGCUCGUAGGCGGUUUGUCGCGUCUGCUGUGAAAACUGGAGGCUCAACCUCCAGCCUGCAGUGGGUACGGGCAAACUAGAGUGCGGUAGGGGAGAUUGGAAUUCCUGGUGUAGCGGUGGAAUGCGCAGAUAUCAGGAGGAACACCCGUGGCGAAGGCGGCACUCUGGGACGGUACUGACGCUGAGACGCGAAAGCGUGGGGAGCGAACAGG